rnacentral:rRNA from 1 species
AGAACGAACGCUGGCGGCAUGCCUAAUACAUGCAAGUCGAACGAACUCUUCGGAGUUAGUGGCGCACGGGUGCGUAACGCGUGGGAAUCUGCCCCUUGGUUCGGAAUAACAGUUGGAAACGACUGCUAAUACCGGAUGAUGACGAAGGUCCAAAGAUUUAUCGCCAAGGGAUGAGCCCGCGUAGGAUUAGCUAGUUGGUGAGGUAAAGGCUCACCAAGGCAACGAUCCUUAGCUGGUCUGAGAGGAUGAUCAGCCACACUGGGACUGAGACACGGCCCAGACUCCUACGGGAGGCAGCAGUAGGGAAUAUGGACAAUGGGCGAAAGCCUGAUCCAGCAAUGCCGCGUGAGUGAUGAAGGCCUUAGGUUGUAAAGCUCUUUUACCGAGAUGAUAAUGACAGUAUCGGAGAAUAAGCCCCGGCUAACUCCGUGCCAGCAGCCGC